GAUGAAGAACGUAGCGAAAUGCGAUAAGUAAUGUGAAUUGCAGAAUUCAGUGAAUCAUCGAAUCUUUGAACGCACAUUGCGCCCGCCAGUAUUCUGGCGGGCAUGCCUGUUCGUGCGUCAUUACAACCCUCAGGCCCCCGGGCCUGGCGUUGGGGAUCGGCGGAGCCCCCCGUGGGCACACGCCGUCCCCCAAAUGCAGUGGCGGUCCCGCCGCAGCUUCCAUCGCGUAGUAGCUAACACCUCGCGACUGGAGAGCGGCGCGGCCACGCCGUAAAACACCCGACUCUUCUGAAGUUGACCUCGAAUCAGGUAGGAAUACCCGCUGAACUUAAGCAUAUCAAUAAGCGGAGGA
rnacentral:misc_RNA from 1 species